CGAUCCUCGAACCGUCCCCCACACUGCCGCUUAAACGCGCGGCUUUCUAGCAUUCCUUCACUCCGAGAACGGCUUUCAGAGUUAAUAAUGCAAAAGAUACUUUACAGAGCAAACGGUCGUGGCUUUAGGAUCAUCCGAUUGGAUGAGGCUCGUUUUUUGUACCCAUCAUGCUCUCGUUGCUUCAUUUGGUUUCAGUUCUAAUCAGAUUUCUCUCAGAUCCCACAGAGCUAGCAGAGGCCGCGGCGCACAUUCACUAAUGCAUUAGUACCCACAAAGAAGCAGGAAGCGGCAGAGCGGCACAGAGUACACAUUCAGCCCGAGGAACAGAGACGGCACACCAGUGACUGCCAGACAUUCAGAGGUGGGAACAACUGUUGGAAUGGAGACAGAGAUCGGAGAAGGACAAGCUGGAGGGGCGCAGCUGCACAUCGGAAAGAGACAGAGCUCAAACCAAGCAUGACUGAUAGAAAGAUCAUCCAGUCCCAGUCUGGAAAUGCCAACAGCUUUGUUGGAGAGCGAUUCAAAGUGUUAACAGGUUCAGACUGGAACAAUCUCCGCUAAUGUUCACGGCUCGGAAAAGAGGCCUUCGUUUGUUCCAGGGACAUCAGAGGUUCUUUAGAUGAAGCGUGAACAUGAAUGAAGGCUUUGACGCACCAACGCAGCUGAACUUCUUUGAGAAUCGGACAUGGUUUGAGCGCACAGCGGCAGCAUUCACACUGACCGGUCGCCGAUUGAGACAUAUUACAGAGAUCAUGGGAAUAAACGCCUUCGUUGACGAGGCAGGCUGCGCGCUUAACGAAGCUUUGAUCGCCCGUUCAUUUCUUCAAAAUGUUAAUUAGUACAGAAUUCUGAGCCUUGAACCAAACCAGCUGACUCACAGAUGAAUCACGGCAUUACGUCGCAGUCGAAGUAAAUGAGGACGAAAACCUAUAGAAGGACUGUAUUUAACUGCUUCAGUUUAAUUAAAGAGGAGAG